UAGUACCUGUGAAGAUGCAGGUUACCCGCGACUAGACGGAAAGACCCCAUGGAGCUUUACUGUAGCUUGAUAUUGGACUUUGAUGCAGGAUGUACAGGAUAGGUAGGAGACUGAGAGACAUGCACGCCAGUGUGUGAGGAGUCGCUGUUGGGAUACUACUCUUCCUGUAUUGGAGUUCUAACCGGAUGCCAUAAGCUGGCAACGGGACAGUGUCAGGUGGGCAGUUUGACUGGGGCGGUCGCCUCCCAAAGAGUAACGGAGGCGCCCAAAGAUACCCUCAGCUUGGAUGGAAAUCAAGCGCAGAGUGCAAAGGCAAAAGGGUGUUUGACUGCGAGACCAACAAGUCGAGCAGGGACGAAAGUCGGGCUUAGUGAUCCGGCGGUGCUGAAUGGAAAGGCCGUCGCUCAACGGAUAAAAGCUACCCUGGGGAUAACAGGCUGAUCUCCCCCAAGAGUUCACAUCGACGGGGAGGUUUGGCACCUCGAUGUCGGCUCAUCGCAUCCUGGAGCUGAAGUCGGUUCCAAGGGUUGGGCUGUUCGCCCAUUAAAGCGGUACGCGAGCUGGGUUCAGAACGUCGUGAGACAGUUCGGUCCCUAUCUGUCGUGGGCGUAGGAAGUUUGAGAAGAUCUGUCCUCAGUACGAGAGGACCGGGAUGGACAUAUCAAUGGUGCACCAGUUGUCACGCCAGUGGCACAGCUGGGUAGCUAAAUAUGGAAGGGAUAAACGCUGAAGGCAUCUAAGUGUGAAACCCACUUCAAGAUGAGACUUCCCAUUACGCAAGUAGGUAAGACCCCUUAAAGACGAUAAGGUUGAUAGGUCAGGAGUGUAAGCAUGGUGACAUGUUCAGCGGACUGAUACUAAUAGGUCGA
rnacentral:ncRNA from 1 species